rnacentral:rRNA from 1 species
UACGAAGGGGGCUAGCGUUGUUCGGAAUCACUGGGCGUAAAGCGUACGUAGGCGGACCAUUAAGUCGGGGGUGAAAUCCCAGGGCUCAACCCUGGAACUGCCUUCGAUACUGGUGGUCUGGAGUCCGGGAGAGGUGAGUGGAACUCCUAGUGUAGAGGUGAAAUUCGUAGAUAUUAGGAAGAACACCAGUGGCGAAGGCGGCUCACUGGCUCGUAUCUGACGCUCAGGCGCGACAGCGUGGGGAUCAAACAGG